GGAAAACCGGUAGUCUGCAAAGGAUAAGAAUAAAUAACAAACUCAGCUCUCCCAGAUUUCUACUUGUGGUACCCAGUAGAGAGAAGGGAUGAAACACACAUGAGUUAUCCAACAUUAGUGUGUGUGCAUCAUAUUAAAAGGAUGCUUGUUGCCUGAUACAGUAGCUCAUUGGAAAGUAAACUCCAGGCAACCAGGCACAAGUGAAAAACCAAGCAACCAUCAGUCUCAGAAAGUACAGACUGGCCUCCUUAUGUCCCAUUGGUUUUCCUGCUGAUGCGGCAUUCUGUAUGUUCCCCAUGGAUGCGCAGUUUAGUGUUUAGGCUUAUGAAACCAUGUAUCUGACCUGGGGACUUCAACUCCAGCCUUGAACCAGCC